GAGCCUGGGAGGGUCGCAGAGAAAAGGGGAAAGCGACUGUUUACUAAAAACACAGGAGCGUGCAAAGUCCUAAGACGACGUAUACGCUCUGACGCCUGCCCGGUGCCGGAAGGUUACGGGGAAGGGUUAGUCCCUUUGGGGGCGAAGCUCUGAACCUAAGCCCCGGUAAACGGCGGCCGUAACUAUAACGGUCCUAAGGUUAUCCACAGGUCGUGCUGUGGGUUGCCCCUUUCGGAAGCAAUUCCGUAUAGUGCAGCUGGCUAUAUGCUGGAAACUCCGAGUAUCCGGCGGUACUCGUCUCUCACUGUCACACCCCUUUAAUAGGAUUGUGACAUGACGAGUGAAAAUCUGUCCGGUGCGGACAAUCAGCAGGAAAGGCCAGAUUUAGCGGCGUGGUGGAUCGUCGGGUUCGUGGACGGCGAAGGAUGCUUCGGGGUCAGCAUCGUGCGAAACAGCACGUGCCGGCUGGGCUGGCAGGUUCAGCCCGAGUUCAGUGUGACGCAAGGCGAGCGAUCGCUCCCUUGCCUGGAGCUUCUGAGGCGGUACUUCGAGUGCGGCGUAAUCAUUCGUAAUGCUCGGCGGGACAACCAUCGAGAGCCGCUGUACCGGUUCUCGGUGCGGAAGACCGCCGAUCUGCGCGGAUUGGUCGUACCCUUCUUCGAAUCUCAUCCGCUGCGCACGGCGAAGGCGAACGAGUUUCAGCGUUUCGUGUCGAUCUUGGCGCUCAUGGAGCGCGGCAGGCACCUCGAUUACGAGGGUCUCAGGGAGAUCGCACGCAUAGCUGAGACGAUGAAUCACCGCAAGCCACCGCGAUGUCUGGAAUCCUCAGAGGCCAUACGCCAGCCCCCCGCUGCGACGAGCGGGGUGAAGAUAUGGUCCUAGCCUCAUGGCGACAUGGGGACGACUAGAGCGAAAUUCCUUGUCGGGUAAGUUCCGACCUGCACGAAUGGCGUAACGACUUUCCUACUGUCUCAACCACAGACCCGGCGAAAUUGAACUACGAGUAAAGAUGCUCGUUUGCUGCAUCAGGACGGAAAGACCCCGUGGACCUUUACUGCAGCUUGAUGUUGGGUUUUGGUACGGAUUGUGUAGGAUAGGUGGGAGCCUUGGAAGCGUCGGCGCCAGCCGGCGUGGAGGCAACCUUGAAAUACCACCCUGUUCGUGCUGAGGCUCUAACCUGGGCCCGUAAGCCGGGCUGGGAACAGCGUCAGGUGGGUAGUUUGACUGGGGCGGUCGCCUCCUAAAGAGUAACGGAGGCGCCCAAAGGUUCCCUCAGGCUGGUUGGCAAUCAGCCGUCGAGUGCAAUGACACAAGGGAGCUUGACUGCGAGACCUACAAGUCAAGCAGGUGCGAAAGCAGGGCAUAGUGAUCCGGCGGUUGCGUGUGGAAGCGCCGUCGCUCAACGGAUAAAAGGUACCCCGGGGAUAACAGGCUCAUCUUCCCCAAGAGUCCAUAUCGACGGGAAGGUUUGGCACCUCGAUGUCGGCUCGUCGCAUCCUGGGGCUGUAGCCGGUCCCAAGGGUUGGGCUGUUCGCCCAUUAAAGCGGUACGCGAGCUGGGUUUAGAACGUCGCGAGACAGUUCGGUCCCUAUCCGAUGCAGCCGUAGGAAUCCUGAGGAAGGCUGUCCCUAGUACGAGAGGACCGGGACGGACGCAGCUCUCGUGUGGCAGUUGUCCUGCCAAGGGCACCGCUGCUUUGCGACCUGCGGAAGAGAUAAGCGCUGAAAGCAUCUAAGUGCGAAGCUCGUUCCAAGAUGAGGGUUCCCACAGGGUCAACCUGGUAAGGCCCGUGGUAGACGACCACGUUGAUAGGCCGGAGGUGUACGCACGGCAACGUGUUCAGCCGACCGGUACUAAUCGGCCGAGGGCUUGGAACAU
rnacentral:rRNA from 1 species